rnacentral:lncRNA from 1 species
GUAAAUCAAAACAAGUUAGAAAUAUUUACAGUAAUUUGAUAGAGAAAUUGUAUAUCUGCUGAAUCUAAUAGUAAAAAUUUUGGUCUUAUAUGUCUUUAUAUUUUCUUUCUCUAGAAAUUCAUUUCUCUUGUAUUUUACGAAGAUAACAGUCUGUGACAGGAAAAAAAGUUGAUCCUUACCAUGAAUAGUUUGAGAAGCGCUAAAGUGUAGAUAAUGUUGUCAGCAAAUUGUUGCCAAGGAACACCAGAUACCUGAGGAAGGCUUUUAACAUGGAAGAUAACAACCAAAACACAAAGACAAAAACAAAAACAAAAGCAGCUACUUGGAAGAAACAAUUCAAUAAGAAGAAAAAAACUAACAAAUAGUCAGAUAAGAGAAGACAUUGCAUGUAUGAAACAAGAACAGAACGGAAUAAAAAAGAAAAAUUCAGAGAACAAAACGUGCUUGUGGAAAUUAAACACGGGAGAAAUGAAAAACUAAAUAAAGGGUUGGAAGAUUAUGUUGAAGUUAUUUUUAAGACAAGAGAAGAAAAAGACCAACAAAUAGGAAAUUGAACAUGCAAGAUAAGAAAAGUAGAAAACCAACCUAGAAAGUCUAAAAUAUGAAUAAUAGAGACUCUAGAAGGAGAGAAUGGAAAAAUAAUGGGUGAAAUCAUUAACAAAAUAAUUUGAGAAGAAUCCUUCCAGAACUGAAACACAUGAGUUGCCAGAGUGGAAGGCUCCAGUGAAAGUCCAAAAAGGUUGAUCAAAAUAUAUCCAUACCCAGCCUCAUGGUUGUGAAAUAUCAGAACACUAAGGAUAAAAAGAAGAUUUCACAAACUUCCAGAUUAAAAAAACAAGUCAUAUACAAAAGAUCAGGAAUCAAAAUGAUUUGGAUAUAUCUCAACAAAAACACUGGAAACAAGCAGGCAAAACUCUGAAAAGAUAAUAUUUCCAACAUAGAAUUGUAUAACCAAGUAAACUACCAUAUUAAUAUGAGAAUAAAAUAAAGACAUUUUCAUAUAUGCAAGUCCUCAAAAUAUGUACCUUUCACAUACCCUUUAUUAAGAAGCUAGAGGGGGAUGUGCUCUAAAUAAGUGAACAAACCAAAAAAGGAAUACAGG